AUUGAACGCUGGCGGCAGGCCUAACACAUGCAAGCCGAGCGGAUGAAGGGAGCUUGCUCCUGGAUUCAGCGGCGGACGGGUGAGUAAUGCCUAGGAAUCUGCCUGGUAGUGGGGGAUAACGUCCGGAAACGGGCGCUAAUACCGCAUACGUCCUGAGGGAGAAAGUGGGGGAUCUUCGGACCUCACGCUAUCAGAUGAGCCUAGGUCGGAUUAGCUAGUUGGUGGGGUAAAGGCCUACCAAGGCGACGAUCCGUAACUGGUCUGAGAGGAUGAUCAGUCACACUGGAACUGAGACACGGUCCAGACUCCUACGGGAGGCAGCAGUGGGGAAUAUUGGACAAUGGGCGAAAGCCUGAUCCAGCCAUGCCGCGUGUGUGAAGAAGGUCUUCGGAUUGUAAAGCACUUUAAGUUGGGAGGAAGGGCAGUAAGUUAAUACCUUGCUGUUUGGACGUUACCAACAGAAUAAGCACCGGCUAACUUCGUG
rnacentral:rRNA from 1 species